ACGCUGGCGGCAUGCCUAACACAUGCAAGUCGAACGGCAGCACAGGUAGCAAUACCGGGUGGCGAGUGGCGGACGGGUGAGGAAUACAUCGGGACCUGCCCAGACGUGGGGGAUAACGUAGGGAAACUUACGCUAAUACCGCAUACGUCCUACGGGAGAAAGCGGGGGAUCAGCAAUGACCUCGCGCGGUUGGAUGGACCGAUGUUCGAUUAGCUAGUUGGUGGGGUAAUGGCCUACCAAGGCGACGAUCGAUAGCUGGUCUGAGAGGAUGAUCAGCCACACUGGGACUGAGACACGGCCCAGACUCCUACGGGAGGCAGCAGUGGGGAAUAUUGGACAAUGGGCGCAAGCCUGAUCCAGCAAUGCCGCGUGUGUGAAGAAGGCCUUCGGGUUGUAAAGCACUUUUAUCAGGAGCGAAAUACCACGGGUUAAUACCCUAUGGGGCUGACGGUACCUGAGGAAUAAGCACCGGCUAACUUCGUGCCAGCAGCCGCGGUAAUACGAAGGGUGCAAGCGUUAAUCGGAAUUACUGCGCGUAAAGCGUGCGUAGGUGGUUUUUUAA
rnacentral:rRNA from 1 species